CUCGGAAAUCGUCGACGGACGCGGGCAAAGUCGAGUGAGGAGCUGAGCUGGGUUUCGUCCCUCGGCUCGGGCGGUCGGAGUGGACCCCGGCUGCGCGCAAGUGCGCUUUCCUCGCCUGCCAGCAGGUGGCGGCCUUGGCAGCCUCUCCCCUCUGUGCUGAGAAGCCCCCUGCCGACCCCCGACAAUCAGGGUGGGUUUCAACCCCCAGUGGUCCCAGCAGUGCACAUUCGCCAGCCAAUCGCUGUGCCACCCUGUUCUUGGGGUGCAGACCCCCACGGCCCUUUCAAUCCAGAGCCGCCUGCAGGUCAGGGACUGGACAGCUGGACACUUUCUGCCCCGAGAGUGGGACAUGGGCACCAGGGCCUGGGCUGGAGGGUCACUCACAGUCCCUCACCACAGCGUCCCCAUCUCUUCAUCCCGCGCGUUCCUGGGGGGGUGCAGAAUGCUCCCCACUCUCCAGAGCCCCAGGCCUGCUGUUGCGGAUGGCUUCUGCCUGACCCUUGAGUGCUUUCCGGGGAGAGAAGAGAGCCCAGCCUCUCCCUGCUCAGCUCUCUUGGAUCUCUGUUCACGCUUGCGAUUUGAAAUCUUCCAGCAGCCAAUCAAACAAGCAAAAAGAAACAGGCAAAUUGAUUUUUUUUAAUCACAGAUCGUCCAGAGCCGUCUGCCCCUCGUGCCACUGCAGCUCAUUUGUCACAGCCACGAGCUUAGUGUGGGGGAAUGCUGUUAAGGAGAACAGAAUAUUUGGAUGCGGUGAGUUAUGUUUGGUAUAUUUGAUUUAGCCCAUAUGUCAGAAAUACUGUCACGUCAACACGUCCUCAACAUAGAACAUUGCUAGAGAUACUUCACGCGGUUGUUGACCUCGUCUUCGGAGUCUGGCCCGUGUUUCUCACUCCUAGCGCGCCUCGAUUCGGACCAGCCACCCGUCGGGUGUGCCCCGUGGGGCCGGUAGCUCCCAUGGGGCACUCUGCAGCUCUGGAACGUUCUCCCCACCACAGGGUUGUCCCCAGGCCGGCAGUGCGCUGGCAGGUCCGGCAGGAAUCGUCUUGCACUGUUUCAGGGCAGGGAGUCCUUGACUCCUCAUCCCGACAGCAGGGGGAGCCCCAGCUCCCCACACGUGGACAUCCAGGGAUGCACCCCAAGAUGGGGGCGAGGGCUGGGCAGGCCCUCCCUCUCACUGCUCUCUGCCGCCCCAGGCUCACUCGGAUUCACAGGUGAGGGAUUGGGAGAGCGAGAACACGUUCCCAGAGAGUGGCAUUCCACCCGCAGCACCACCUCCUUCAGGAAGCCCACUCUGAUUGCCCAGCCCCGAGGCACUCGGGCAGAAUUGGCAGGAAGUUCUAUCCAGACAUCCUGGGGGCUCCAGGCUCAUGGGUGGCCCUGGCAGCGAUGUCUGUCUGCCCAGCCCUGCCUGCCAAGCCUGAGGUUUUCAGGGGACCACAGGCUCUGACUUGCCCCUGGUCUUGUCCCCGGCCUGGGGGUAGAAAGGGGUGCUGGCCGUGGCACUUAGAGACCACAGCCUGGGCACCAGGGGCACGCUACAGCAGUGUUGGACAGUUUCUAGGUCUUUCUGGUGGCCCUGGGGUUUGGGUGGCUUGGAGUCAGAAAGCGCCGGAGUAAGCUUCUGUCUGCUGAUGGGAAUUAAAUACAUAGGAGUGAGAGACCCUCAUGGAGGAAGAUGGUGGAGAGAGGACAGACAAGAGAAUAAAGCAACCUAAAAAGGUGAGCACAGACACAAAUGGGUGUUUUGGGUGCUGCAGGUCCCUGCAUCCAGCUGUUCCUGAAUCCCAGCCUCUCCUGAGGUGUACCUGCUUAACUUCCCUUGAACUUCUAGAGCUGUCCCUGCCCCCGCUGCUUCACGUCCUCCAGCUCGCGAGGCACAGUGCUCUUAGGAGUGAUAAACAGACAGUAAACACUGGCUUAAGGAAAAAGGGAGGGAGGCCCCAGCCCCUGCCAGUUGAAAGUUCUGUGGCCUGCCUGAUGGCUUCAGGCACAGCUGGAUCCAAGGGUCUAGGAAGAGCUUGAGGCUCCUCCUCCGCUCCUCCUCCUCUGGCUUCCUCUCCUGGCUCCCUGGGGGUCUCCCGGGCAGCAGCACCAGGGAGCUCCUGAUUGACACCUCAGCUUCCAGCAGCCUCUGCUGAAUGGUGGCCUGUUUCCUGAUACUCGCAGAAAACCCUGUGGUGAACCCUCAUCAGCCUCCCGGGACACAGGGCAGACUGUGGCCCACCCAGACAAUGACGGGCUGAAAUUGGGGGGUGGGGGCCCAAAGCAUAACCAGGAUUCUGUGCCCCAACGAGGUGCCAGACAAGCAAGAACUGCCAGCGUCCUUCACACCCUGGGGGGUCAGUCUCCUGAUGUGAUAAUUUGCGGGUUCCUGAUGUCCCCAUGGAGCUGUGGGGCCAGUGGCUCCGGGAUGAGGAUCCAGGCCUCCCCACGUGGUGCACACACACCCUCCAGCUCCCUCGUGUGGGGCCCAGCCAGCACCCAGAGCCCCAGCCAAGCCUCCCCUGCCCUUUUCCCCCCUUUUGUUCUUAGUUGCAGCAGCUGGGAGACCCCGGGGGGUGGUGGAAAGUUUGUUAGAGACCAUAAUGUUCGCUGCUCCAGCCCUGCUGUGGACAGGUCUGUCUACCUUCAAGAGGGUGUUUAAAAAUCCCAAAGAAUCCAGCCAACGGUUUUGACGUGUAUAAAAUUAUUUAACAGAUUUUUUUUGGAAAAUGUCAUCCUGAGGCACUCAGAGUACAUCCUCCCCAAAACGUGGUCCCAGCCACCCCGCACCGUCCUGGUGCUGGGUCAGCCCCGUCGUGGGUGUUAUUUACGAGUAGACAAAAAAAACACCCAAUUCCAGGCUCCCGGGGCCUCGGGGGCUGCAGCGGCUCGUCAGGGAUCACUGGGAGCUAAAAUAAGUGAGAAACAGGCAGGGACCUGUGCCAGGGUCCCCCAAGAAAGACAAGAGACAGGCCCCAAGAGAGACAGGCCAGAGAAGCUUGACAGGCCCUUUGCCAUCCCCCCACCCCUUCCCCGGGGUUAACAGAGGUCAGGGGUCUCCCUGGAGCCUGGACAGAGGCGAACGUGGAGAGUCCCCAGCCUCGGAGGGCCCCUGCCCAGGCUUGGAAGGGCUUGAGGGGAGGCCUGAGGGGAGCUGCUGGGUGGGGGUAGCCUCCUGGGGGAUCCCCAAGGCCUCAGUGAGGGGAGGAGUUGUGGUAAAGGGAAGCGAAGCCACCCCGUGGGCUGACCCCAUAGACCGACCCUCUGGUUCGCCUCGGGCCGAGGGGUCACAGUGAAGGACAGUCCCAGGGUGGGAUGUGUCGGUGCCUAUGAGGUGAGGCUAGAAAAGGGGGCAGAACAGAGAAUGCCCCAGAGUGCGUCCUAGGGCCUGGGGACUCUCUCCGCGGCCACACCCACCAGGCCUCCGUGGUGGCCGCCUGGCCAGGGCUGCAAGCCACAGGCGCCAUGCAAGGCUGGUCGCUACAAAAGCCCCGAUUCCAGAGAGAUCCACAUGCCCCGAGGGAGCAGCCUGUGGGGUGCUGGGUGCAGGACGUCACAGCGAACUGGCUGUGGGGGCCUCUGGGCUCUGGGCAGCUGCUUCGGGGUCGACAGCCUGGAGGUACGGCAGGGACCGGCCCACAGGGCCAUGUCCACCCAGGGCCCCGAAAACACGUGACAGCCACCAGCUGUCCCCUCGUCCGUCCAGGGGUCUCUAAGGCAACAUGAACUUUUACUCCUCUCAGUGCUCGCGGAACGCAACGCUCAGCUCUAGAAACAGCAGAAACAGCAAGACACGAGACUUUUAUACAAAAAAUUUGUUGCUUACAAAAUAUAUGCAAAAAAAAAAAAGCUUAAAAAAAAAGAGACCGAAGGCAUCACCCCUGCUAAUUUUCUUC